rnacentral:lncRNA from 1 species
AGUGUUGAGUGUGAAAUAUCCAUUUUUGCAACAAUAGACCAAUUGACAAAGGAAUUUGGAGGGAAUGUUUUAAACAACAUUUUUGACUUAUCAGCUAUGUUGAAACUAGUUAGGAGGAGAACAUAUCAAAAGUCCCCAUUUUAUGAUGCAUUUUUGGAGAGCUAUGACCCAUGAAAGAGCAAAACAUUGGAUAAAAACCUGCUAUUUUAAGAAUUACACACCUUCAAGAGCGAAUAUCUGGGGAACUGUUGGGAAUAUCACAAAAUUUCACUAAACAAAAAGUGUAGAGAAUGUAUCAAGCUUCAUUUUUGAAUAGUUAGUUAUGUCGGUUGAAUGCAUUGUUUUCAAGAUAUGAGCGUGGAAGCAAAACGCUGAAAAAUGCAACUUUUAAACCUUUUUUAGGUGGUUUGGUUUGAAUCAUCAUGACUGGCUUUCUGAUGAACCUAUGCGACGCCAUUAAGGAAUGGCUUACUACUGUAUGGUCGACUGGAUCUGUACUUCCUGUAUUUACUGAUCCGGAGACCACUGAAUAGUAUCGUGUUGCACAGAGGUUAAGAGUGCGUUGCAAGCAUCUGUAUGCUUUAACCAGUCGUCUGAAACAACCAUAAUCUUUUAGGGGUGUAAAUGGAGAUCGAAGUGUAAAAUUCGCCUUGCUUUUCUGGACGAUAUUCCAAGUGGAGCUGGAUGUUUCCGCACAGAGCGCGAUAGGGAUUGUUCAAUGGACGCCCUCACUGCCGCGAUAUUUUCAGGUACCCCACCUUUUUUAGGUUGCCCAGCUUGUUUUCUAGGAAGUGCAGAUCCUUUCGACCAGAUCAGGAACUGUCAUGAAGAUUCAAACCAAACCGCCUACAAAAAGCAUCUGCGUCGCUACCACAUUGUCAUUGUUUUUAAAGAACGUUCCAACAAUAAAGCCUCGAUGCUCACCUUAACACUGCAUGAUGAACAUGAAUACUUAAAAUGACAUAGUUUCCGCCAUAUAACACCACCACUCUUAUUCCACUAUUCACCUGCGCACUCUUCACUGAUUUGAAAGUAGGGAGUCCAUUCUGACCAAACUUUUAGGCUUAUCAAAACAGGGAAUAUGUCGGCCAUGAUAGCUAAGACAAGUAAGGCUGCACUCUUUAGUCAGCUAGUGCUCUAUACGAUACGUGCAAAAUGGAUGCAACCCUUAGAAAUAAAAAUCAAUAUAAAUUUCAUGUGGAUUGAGAGUAGAUUAAUCUCUAGUAUGAUGCAUUCAAUCUUUUUAAUUAUUACUUCUUCUACUUAACUCGUUCUUCUACUAAUACGUUUUUCUUUUUAGAAAUAAAAAUGCCAUUUAUGUCUGCCUGUCACCACAUAGAAAGCUUUCCGAAAGACACAAUUCCUUGGUGAACCUAUUGUACUGCAUCAUAAAAGCGGAAGAAGGAGGUGAAAUCAACUUGCCGACUGUUUAGCUGUGGUAAAAGCUAUCAAAUCCAUGAAUCCAGGAACCUAUUCAAUUCUCAAGAACAUCUCUGUCAUAAUGUGGUCGGACCCGUUCACCAAGGAAGGCACAUAGAAGACUGGCUUAUGAUGGCGAAAGACUUUUGAAGGCGGUUACCUUGAUUGGGAUCAUAUCUAUUAAACCUUCGAAUCCUGCACUCAAAAGUAAAUGUGAUACCAUUCAAAUGGAAUAAGAUUGAUUUGAAUUGGAAUUUGUUAUUCCUGUAUCAUAGUGCAUUUUUCUACUAGUUACCCUACGUAUUGUACAUUAUUGUAAUAAAGCACUAGCUGUUCCAUAGUAGAAGUCUUUGAAAUAAAAGGUUUCUUUUUCAAGUUA